GCUAAUACCGGAUGAGCCGAGAGGUAAAAGAUUUAUUGACUAGAGAGGUACUCGCGUCUGAUUAGCUAGUUGGUGGGGUAAGAGCCUACCAAGGCGACGAUCAGUAGCUGUUCUGAGAGGAAGAUCAGCCACACUGGGACUGAGACACGGCCCAGACUCCUACGGGAGGCAGCAGUGGGGAAUUUUCCGCAAUGGGCGAAAGCCUGACGGAGCAAUACCGCGUGUGGGAGGAAGGCCCUUGGGUCGUAAACCACUUUUCUUAGGGAAGAAGUUCUGACGGUACCUAAGGAAUAAGCCUCGGCUAACUCCGUGCCAGCAGCCGCGGUAAUACGGAGGAGGCAAGCGUUAUCCGGAAUUAUUGGGCGUAAAGAGUCCGUAGGUGGUCUUUCAAGUCUGCUGUUAAAGACAGAAGCUCAACUUCUGAUAGGCAGUGGAAACUGAGAGACUAGAGAAUGGUAGGGGUAGAGGGAAUUCCCAGUGUAGCGGUGAAAUGCGUAGAGAUUGGGAAGAACACCGGUGGCGAAAGCGCUCUACUGGGCCAUAACUGACACUGAGGGACGAAAGCUAGGGUAGCGAAAGGGAUUAGAUACCUCUGUAGUCCUAGCCGUAAACGAUGGGUACUAGGCGUAGCUUGUAUCGACCCGAGCUGUGCCGAAGCAAACGCGUUAAGUACCCCGCCUGGGGAGUACGCACGCAAGUGUGAAACUCAAAGGAAUUGACGGGGGCCCGCACAAGCGGUGGAGUAUGUGGUUUAAUUCGAUGCAACGCGAAGAACCUUACCAAGGCUUGACAUCCCGCGAAUCCUUCAGAGAUGAGGGAGUGCC
rnacentral:rRNA from 1 species